rnacentral:rRNA from 1 species
GACAGAGGGUGCAAACGUUGCUCGGAAUCACUGGGCGUAAAGGGCGUGUAGGCGGGCGUGCAAGUCAGGCGUGAAAUCCCUGGGCUCAACCCAGGAAUUGCACUUGAAACUGCACGUCUUGAGUAUCGGAGAGGAAAGUGGAAUUCCUGGUGUAGAGGUGAAAUUCGUAGAUAUCAGGAGGAACACCGGUGGCGAAGGCGGCCCUCUGGACGGUGACUGACGCUGAGACGCGAAAGCGUGGGGAGCAAACAGG